rnacentral:lncRNA from 1 species
AAGAUUGUAGCUGGGAAACUUCCAGAAAGGACUACUGGGAGGGAACAUGGAAACACCCAGGACAUUCAGAACCAGCUAGCCAGUGAACUUGGAAAAGAAACAGCGAAGCAAAGCGGUCUCUCCUCCACUAAUCAAGAGAAAUAAAGAAUUGAAAUACCCCCUGGAACUGAUGGAAAAUCAGCACCAACCACUGUUCCAGUUCCCCUUCAGUGUCAGACUCAUUGUCUGGGUGUCCUCCUGCUCCUGCAGUGAUUCACUCUGGGAAGGUGCCAGCCUGGCUCUGGGGU